CCCUUAGAUGUUCUGGGCCGCACGCGCGUUACACUGACGCAUUCAACGAGUCUCCUUGGCCGAGAGGCCUGGGUAAUCUUGUGAACGUGCGUCGUGAUAGGGAUAGAUUAUUGCAAUUAUUAAUCUUGAACGAGGAAUUCCUAGUAAACGCAGAUCAUCAAUCUGCAUUGAUUACGUCCCUGCCCUUUGUACACACCGCCCGUCGCACCUACCGAUUGGAUGGUCCGGUGAGGCCUCGGGAUUGUGGCCGGUGCAUUCAUUUGUGUCGGUUGCGAGAACUUGUCCAAACCUUAUCAUCUAGAGGAAGGUGAAGUCGUAACA
rnacentral:rRNA from 1 species